rnacentral:rRNA from 1 species
UACAGAGGGUGCAAGCGUUGUUCGGAAUUAUUGGGCGUAAAGCGAGUGUAGGCGGGAUGGCAAGUCGGGUGUGAAAGCCCUCAGCUCAACUGAGGAAGUGCGCUCGAAACUACUGUUCUUGAGUGUCGGAGAGGGUGACGGAAUUCCCGGUGUAGAGGUGAAAUUCGUAGAUAUCGGGAGGAACACCAGUGGCGAAGGCGGUCACCUGGACGAACACUGACGCUGAGACUCGAAAGCGUGGGUAGCAAACAGG